ACAUCCAAGGAAGGCAGCAGGCGCGCAAAUUACCCACUCUCAAAACGAGGAGGUAGUGAAGAGAAAUAACGAUGUUAGUCUUUUAUAGGCUGACAAUCGGAAUGGGAACACUGUAAACAGGUUAUCGAUUAACAAUUGGAGGGCAAGUCUGGUGCCAGCAGCCGCGGUAAUUCCAGCUCCAAUAAGGAAAACUAAAGUUGCUGUGUUUAAAAAGCUCGUAGUUGAAUUUCGGGUAUUUGUUGCUAGCUGGUCUUACUGGCCAUGUUGGUUAACAGAUCCUCAUUUGCUGGACGGCUGGCGAUGAUCUUUAUCGAUUGUCGUUAGUUGCCAGAACGUUUACUUUGAGAAAAUUAGAGUGCUAAAAGCAGGCUCACGCCUAUAUAUAUUGCAUGGAAUAAUGAAAUAAGAUCUCGAUUUUAUUUCGUUGGUUUUAGAAAUUGAGAUAAUGAUUAAUAGGAUCAGAGGGGGGCGUACGUACUGUGGUGUGAGAGGUGAAAUUCUUGGAUCGCCACAGGACGAACAGCAGCGAAGGCGUUCGCCAAGAAUGUUUUCAUUAAUCAAGAACGAAAGUUUGAGGUUCGAAGACGAUUAGAUACCGUCCUAGUUCAAACCAUAAACGUUGCCAACUGUCUUUUAGAUGCGGUUAUUUACAUGACUCAUCUGGCGGAUCUCGAGAAAUCUAAGUUUUUAGGUUCCGGGGGAAGUAUGGUUGCAAAGCUGAAACUUAAAAGAAUUGACGGAAGGACACACAAGAAGUGGAGCCUGUGGCCUAAUUUG
rnacentral:rRNA from 1 species